UACGAAGGGGGCUAGCGUUGCUCGGAAUCACUGGGCGUAAAGGGUGCGUAGGCGGGUCUUUAAGUCAGGGGUGAAAUCCUGGAGCUCAACUCCAGAACUGCCUUUGAUACUGAAGAUCUUGAGUUCGGGAGAGGUGAGUGGAACUGCGAGUGUAGAGGUGAAAUUCGUAGAUAUCGGGAGGAACACCGGUGGCGAAGGCGGCGGCCUGGGUUGACACUGACGCUGAGGCGCGAAAGCCAGGGGAGCAAACGGG
rnacentral:rRNA from 1 species